rnacentral:lncRNA from 1 species
CAUUUUAACUUUUUUCCAUGUUCUUUCCUUUGUCUUGUAAAGAGAUGGCUCACAUACCUAUGCCUUAAAUUUAGCCUUACUCUCCAGCCAUGUUUGCAGUAGAAGCGGCGGCAGCAACACCUCCUCCUGCCCGUGGGCCCUGUUCCCACGCAGCAGCCUGACUGCCCAUGGGUCCUGUCCCCAUGCUAUUCCACACUAUUCUCUAAAUAAAAGAGCACUACCGCCAGAUCUUGAGAGUCCAAGAAAUCUUUCUUUCAACUCCUCGGCUCACCGACCCCGCAUCAAGAGGAACAAGGAAGAUUCGCCCUGAACUAGCAUCUGUUGCCAAUCUUCCUCUUUUUGGAUGUGGGUCACUACCACGGCAUGAAUGGUGACAGAUGAGUGGUGUACGUCAGAGCCCAGGAACCGAACCCAGGCCGCUGAAGUGGAGUGUGCCAAACUUAGCCACUAGGCCACCAGGGCUGGCCCAGGCAGCCCCAUUUUAAGCUCCAUGUCUGCACAUGUCUUGGCUUUGUGACUUCAGGCAAUUCACUAAAUGCUCUAAACUUCAGUUUCUACAUUUUCCCCCAAAUAGGGAGAAUCCUGUAAUAAUAGCUGCUAUGGACUGAAUGUUUGUGUCUCCCCUAAAAUUCAUAUGUCGAAAUCUUAAUGCCCAGUGUGAUGGUAUUUGGAGGUGGGGCCUUUGGGAAGUAAUUAGGGUUAGUUUAGGUCAUGAGGGUGGAGCCCCCAUGAUAGGAUUAACGUCCUUAUGCAAAGGAAGACACACAGGAUCUCUCUUUCAACAAGAAAGGAUACAAUCAGAAGGUAUCCUUCCACAAAACAGGAAGAGGGAUCUCACCAGAAAUCAAAUCAGCCAGCACCUUGAUCUUGGACUUGCCAGGCUCCUGAACUGCGAAGAAUAGAAUUCUGUGUCUAAGCCACCCAGUCUAUGGUAUUUUUGUAAUAGCAACCUGAACUGACCACAAUAGCUAAUACAUAUAGUAAUGCACCUGGCUUGUUCUAGUCGUCUUCAUUCAUUGCACAAAUAUUUUUUGCAAACCUCCCUGUGUGGGGCACUGUCCUAAACACUCCGGACACCCAGCAAACAAAACAAAGAUCUCCCCUUUCUACGGUUUACAGUCUAAUUCGGAGAG